UGGGGAAUAUUGCACAAUGGGGGAAACCCUGAUGCAGCGACGCCGCGUGAGCGAUGAAGGCUUUCGAGUCGUAAAGCUCUGUCCUAUGGGAAGAUAAUGACGGUACCAUAGAAGAAAGCCCCGGCUAAUUACGUGCCAGCAGCCGCGGUAAUACGUAAGGGGCGAGCGUUGUCCGGAAUUAUUGGGCGUAAAGAGUGCGUAGGCGGCAAAUUAAGUCAGAUGUGAAAACUAAGGGCUCAACCCAUAGAUUGCAUCUGAAACUGAUAUGCUUGAGUCAAGGAGAGGAAAGUGGAAUUCCUAGUGUAGCGGUGGAAUGCGUAGAUAUUAGGAGGGAUACCGGUGGCGAAGGCGACUUUCUGGACUGGAACUGACGCUGAGGCACGAAAGCGUGGGGAGCAAACAGG
rnacentral:rRNA from 1 species